rnacentral:rRNA from 1 species
GGAGUUUUACAAAGAAUGGCGGCUUAUCUGAAGGAAUGGAAAACACGACAUGGGAGGAAAUUGCAACACUCAAAUGCUAUGGGAGGAAUAAAUGUCAAUACUAUUUGGAGCAAGAUUUGGAAAUUAUCUUGUCCAGCAAAAGUGAAGAUCUUUAUUUGGCGUACCUUACACGGAACCCCUUGUCGUGUUACACUUGCUAAUAGACACAUGAAAGUUUCGCCCACCUGCCCAUCAUGUUCGAACGGGCAUGAAGAUACUAAACACUUAUUAUUUUUGUGUCAAAAGUCAAAAGAGGUGUGGGAGAAAGUGGGAUUGCACGAAGCCAUUAAAAAAGCUUGCGCGGUCGAUCGUGCGGGAGAGGCAGUACUCGAAUUUCUACUUCUUAUGCCAGAACACGAGCUAUCUACAGUGGGCAUAUAGAAUGUUCGCGAACUGGUCGCUAUAACAGCCUGGUAUUUAUGGUGGGAAAGACGUUCGCUAGUCCAUCUGGGAAAGACCCAAGAUGCAUACUAA